ACAACUCCCAGCGGACACGGCGGGAAAGAGUUUUGAUUUGCCUUUUCCCAUUUCUUUCUCGUCUCUUUUGAUUCUUGCCUACCGCUGAAUGUCUCCGCUGACCUGAGCCUAACGGGCAGAAUUGGCUCAUCGGGGAACGUGGAGACACGUCACGCCGGGGAUGCAUAACACCCAAAUUCUUGGCAAGAACCCAGGAAUUGUGGCAGGAAAACUUGGGGAGCUAAAGUUUGCUCAUUUUGAAAACUUCAGCAAUUACAGCAACUUGUCAAUGACCGGCAUGCUUUUUCAGCCUCGCUUUCAGAAAAGAAAAAGUCUAUAACAUCACCAGUCGUGCAUCAGGCUGGUUCAUUUUGCCCAUUAAGCCUGACAGUGAUGAGAAUACAAUGUUAGCAUUCUGAUCACGGAGAGAAAUCUAAAUGUGCCACAGCCUCCAACCUGAAGUAGUGCUUUUAACAAAUGCUUUGUACAUCUCAGUCCAACAUAGUACGUCAAUGGAGAGAAGAGGCUUUCCUUUUUUAAAAAAAUCUUCUCUGUGUUUUUUUUUCCUGUUAGCCACUGAAUAAAGUGCAUGCAGCCAUGAAAUGUGAAAAUAAA